UACGUAGGUGGCGAGCGUUGUCCGGAUUUAUUGGGUUUAAAGGGUGCGUAGGCGGCCCUAUAAGUCAGUGGUGAAAUAUCGCAGCUUAACUGUGAGGGUGCCAUUGAUACUGUAGGGCUUGAGUGAAUUUGAGGUAGGCGGAAUUGACGGUGUAGCGGUGAAAUGCUUAGAUAUCGGGAGGAACAUCCAUGGCGAAGGCAGCUACCUGGACCAACACUGACACUGAGGCACGAAAGCGUGGGGAGCAAACAGG
rnacentral:rRNA from 1 species